CCUACGGGUGGCAGCAGUGAGGAAUAUUGGUCAAUGGGCGAGAGCCUGAACCAGCCAAGUCGCGUGAGGGAGUACUGCCCUAUGGGUUGUAAACCUCUUUUGUCGGGGAGCAAAAGCCGGACGUGUCCGGCUGUGAGAGUACCCGAAGAAAAAGCAUCGGCUAACUCCGUGCCAGCAGCCGGGGUAAUACGGAGGAUGCGAGCGUUAUCCGGAUUUAUUGGGUUUAAAGGGUGCGCAGGCGGAUUUUUAAGUCAGCGGUAAAAUCGUGGGGCUCAACCCCAUCCAGCCGUUGAAACUGGGGAUCUAGAGUGUGCGAGAGGUAUGCGGAAUGCGUGGUGUAGCGGUGAAAUGCAUAGAUAUCACGCAGAACCCCGAUUGCGAAGGCAGCAUACCGGUGCACAACUGACGCUCAGGCACGAAAGCGUGGGUAUCGAACAGGAUUAGAUACCCUAGUAGUC
rnacentral:rRNA from 1 species